UACGGGGGGAGCAAGCGUUGUUCGGAUUUACUGGGCGUAAAGGGCGCGUAGGCGGCGCAACAAGUCACUUGUGAAAUCUCCGGGCUUAACCCGGAGCGGCCAAGUGAUACUGUCGUGCUAGAGUGCGGAAGGGGCUACUGGAAUUCUCGGUGUAGCGGUGAAAUGCGUAGAUAUCGGGAGGAACACCGAUGGCGAAGGCAGCACUCUGGGCCGGUACUGACGCUGAGGAGCGAAAGCGUGGGGAGCGAACAGG
rnacentral:rRNA from 1 species